rnacentral:rRNA from 1 species
GAAGGGACCUAGCGUAGUUCGGAAUUACUGGGCUUAAAGAGUUCGUAGGUGGUUAAAAAAGUUGGUGGUGAAAUCCCAGAGCUUAACUCUGGAACUGCCAUCAAAACUUUUUAGCUAGAGUAUGAUAGAGGAAAGCAGAAUUUCUAGUGUAGAGGUGAAAUUCGUAGAUAUUAGAAAGAAUACCGAUUGCGAAGGCAGCUUUCUGGAUCAUUACUGACACUGAGGAACGAAAGCAUGGGUAGCGAAGAGGAUUAGAUACCCUCGUAGUCCAUGCCGUAAACGAUGUGUGUUAGACGUUGGAAAUUUAUUUUCAGUGUCGCAGCGAAAGCAAUAAACACACCGCCUGGGGAGUACGACCGCAAGGUUAAAACUCAAAUGAAUUGACGGGGACCCGCACAAGUAGUGGAGCAUGUGGUUUAAUUCGAAGAUACGCGCAGAACCUUACCAACACUUGACAUGUUCGUCGCGACUUUAAGAGAUUAAAGUUUUCGGUUCGGCCGGACGAAACACAGGUGCUGCAUGGCUGUCGUCAGCUCGUGUCGUGAGAUGUUGGGUUAAGUCCCGCAACGAGCGCAACCCUCACUUUUAGUUGCCAUCAUUUAGUUGGGCACUCUGAAAGAACUGCCAGUGAUAAGCUGGAGGAAGGUGGGGAUGACGUCAAGUCCUCAUGGCCCUUAUGUGUUGGGCUACACACGUGCUACAAUGGUAUCUACAACAGGAAGCAAGAUGGCAACAUUUAGCAAAUCCUAAAAAGAUACCUCAGUUCGGAUUGCACUCUGCAACUCGAGUGCAUGAAGCUGGAAUUACUAGUAAUCGUGGAUCAGCGUGCCACGGUGAAUACGUUCCCGGGUCUU